rnacentral:misc_RNA from 1 species
UGCACCAGAGAGUUGUCUGUUAAGUUGAUUAUUAGGUUUUGUUGUCAUAUUUCCAAACCAGAAGAAUUUAUGCCUUAUAUUAUACCUGUAAUGCAGCAAAGAAUAAUUUCUGAUAAUAAUCAUGAAUCUACAGAAGAAAUUAGGCUGUUAUUGAUUGAGAGCUUAUCAAAGUUAAUAGAUAUAUGCUGUGAAAAGAUUGGAAUUUAUAUUGAUGGAAUUAUCCUCAUGUUAAUUAAAACUCUUGAAGAUCCAUACAGUGAAGUCAGAAAAGCAAGUUGUUCUUGUGUUUGUAAGUUAGCUGCAAUUUGCUCUGAGCAAUUUUAUCUGCAGGGAGAAUCUUUAAUUCCCCCAUUGUUAAGAUCUCUUUCACACCAGCAUAAUAAAGUUAGAAGUGCUGUUUUGCAGACAAUUGGUGUUACGAUUCUAUCAACAAGUGGAAAGUCAGUAGAUGAUGUAUUUACUCACAUUGCACAACGAACCUUUGAUAGUUCUUCACCAGUGAGAUUAAUGGUUGUUGAAGUAGUUGGAAAAUGGCUUGUUGAACUUAGAGAUAGGUAUUCUUAUUUUGCAAAAUUGAUUCCAUUGCUACUUAGUGGACUUUCCGAUGAAAUGUCUGAGAUUAGAUUAUUAAGUUUUGAAAAUUUUGAAAAGGCUGGUAUGCUAUAUGAAGAAGAAAAUGAAGCAGAUUUAAAAGAUAAAAGAGAGUAUCAUGUAACUAAACCGUUUGAAUCAUUUAUAACUCAUAACAGACCUAGAUUGGGUUGUAGAGUGCUUGUUCAGCAAAACUUCUCAAAGAUUCUUCCUGCUCUAAUUCAUGACAUCACUGAUUGGUGUGUAGACACUAGAAUCAAGGCUGCCAAUCUUUUGUACCAUCUGGUGCUGUACUGUGAGGACCACAUAACAAUGAGCAUGGAGUUAUUAUCAAAUGGCCUUUACUCAGCCUCUCAAGAUGAUGAAAAACAAGUCGUUUAUCAAGUUAGUCGGGUUGCUGAAUUAGUUGGGAAGUUUGUUGAACCAUCAGUAUAUUGCAAACUAAUAACAAAACGAUUAGAACUUGUUUACAAUUCAACUUCAAAACAAAUACAUGGCACAUUACUUAUUUUAACCUCUUACAUCAAAGGUGCAAUUCCACAACAGAUCAAAGAUGAAUUAACGAAUAUAACAACUAUUAUUGAAAAAACAGAUAUCUGUAGCUCUGUUGAUAAUGCAUGUCAAAUGCAACUUUUAGCUUUAUUUGAUGCAAUUAUAUCAAAAGAAGUAGAUGAAAUAUCUUGUGUUGGUUGCAGUUUGUUUAAAAUGAUAUUAAGUGUGAUUGCACUUGCUUGCAAUAAUCAAGUGAAAACAGAGGCUGAAAAUCAAAUAAUAAAUCUCAGUAAAACAUUGCACCUUGAGAGUCGGUUUGAAUUAUUCAAAAUUUAUGGUGAUCGCAUCAUGGAGUCUUUAGUGAAAUCAUCUGCAGAAUGGAGUAGUCAAUCAUCUGAUUGCUAUACUUAUGUUUCUCUAUUAUCACAGGCAGGCCCUAGCCUUUUUUAUCUUCUUGAUAAAGCUAUUCCCAUUUUCAUCCAAUGUUGUGAUGUUACAAAAGAUGCUGAAAUGAGACAAAGAUUUUUUACUCUCAUGGCGCAGCUCGUUCUAAAUCCAUUAACUGAAGAUGUUGUUAAAAAGUUUCAAGUUCAUAUUGAUUCAAUAAUCAAAGAUGCAAUUUUGCCCAACUGCAUUUGGAAAGCUGGAAGAGUUGCUGCAGCUGUUCGUUCAGUUGCUAUGUCUUUUUUAUGGGCUUUGCUCCAGUCUGUUUUGCGUGGAAAUGAAUUAAAAAAAGCAUUUAACGAAUCACAAAUGCAGAUAAUUAGUUGCCUUGAUGAUCACAAUGAAACUACUAGACUUGUAACAAUUAAAGUUUUAUUAAAAAUUCUAAGAGUGAGCAAAGGUGAAUUUGUAGGUGCUUACCUGAAGAUUACGAUCGACACCUCUUUAAAUAUCAUUUGGAGUACCUGUAUAAAACUUUGCUAAUACAUAUGGACGAUCGCAAUGAAAUAAUUCAGAAAGCUAUAUUAGGUUGCUUAAAAAUCGGUGCUUGUAAACACCCCUUACUUUUGAAGCAGCUUGUUGACGACGUUGUUUUAAAGCAUCGCACGAAACAGUAUUGCGAAGAGCUUUUGCAUCAUUGUGAGGAACUUAAUAAAACAUUUUCGAACGAGCCUAAUAAUAUGGC